UACGUAGGGUGCGAGCGUUGUCCGGAUUUAUUGGGUGUAAAGAGCUCGUAGGCGGUUUGUCGCGUCGGCCGUGAAAUCUCCACGCUUAACGUGGAGCGUGCGGUCGAUACGGGCAGACUUGAGUACUGCAGGGGAGACUGGAAUUCCUGGUGUAGCGGUGAAAUGCGCAGAUAUCAGGAAGAACACCAAUGGCGAAGGCAGCUCUCUGGGACGGUACUGACGCUGAGACGCGAAAGCGUGGGGAGCGAACAGG
rnacentral:rRNA from 1 species